GGAGGGUGCAAGCGUUAUCCGGAAUCAUUGGGUUUAAAGGGUCCGUAGGCGGAUUGAUAAGUCAGAGGUGAAAUCCCACAGCUUAACUGUGGAACUGCCUUUGAUACUGUUAGUCUUGAGUUAUAUGGAAGUAGAUAGAAUGUGUAGUGUAGCGGUGAAAUGCAUAGAGAUUACACAGAAUACCGAUUGCGAAGGCAGUCUACUACGUAUAUACUGACGCUAAUGGACGAAAGCGUGGGGGGAGCGAACAGGAUUAGAUACCCUGGUAGUCCACGCCGUAAACCGAUGGACACUAGUUGUUGGAUUUAUUCAGUGACUAAGCGAAAGUGAUAAGUGUCCCCACCUGGGGAGUACGAUCGCAAGAUUG
rnacentral:rRNA from 1 species